UUGAGGUUUCCUUCAUCUGAUCCACUUUUAAAACCAUUGCCAUCACCCCAUCCAUUGGAUGAAGUUUCAUUAUUUGACUUUUGGACAUUGUUCCAACCAGAAGAUUCUUUUUCAGAAACCUUGGUUGUAUUCCAACUGCUAUUCUGAUUGUCAUCACCCACACUUCCAGUUUUAGGUUCUGCCUGACCCCAUCCAGUAGAUGAAGUUUCAUUAUUUGACUUUUGGACAUUGUUCCAACCAGAAGAUUCUUUUCCAGAAACCUUGGUUGUAUUCCAACUGCUAUUUUGAUUGUCAUCACCCACACUUCCAGUUUUAGGUUCUGCCUGACCCCAGCUGCCUCCAACAUUUCCCCAGCAGCCACCAGACUGUUCUGGAUCAGAAGCAACUCCAGUCUUCUCCACUGCAGCAACCCAUGUGGAGUUCUGGUUUGGAUUACUUUUAGUUUCCCAAGCAGAAUCUUCUGCACCUACACAUUACAACAGCAAUGAGGCAAAUGAUAAACGAAGUAGUUAAACUAGAAGUGAAAAC
rnacentral:lncRNA from 1 species